UGCAAGUCGACGGUAACAGGCUCAUAGGGUGCUGACGAGUGGCGGACGGGUGAGUAAAGCGUAUGGAUCUACCUUGUUGAGGGGAAUAGCUUAGGGAGACUUAAGGUAAUACCGCAUAAGCCCCAAGGGGGAAAGCCGGGGACCGAAGAGGCCUGGCGCAAUAAGAUGAACGUACGUCAGAUUAGCUAGUUGGUAGGGUAAAGGCCUACCAAGGCGGUGAUCCGUAGCUGGUCUGAGAGGACGACCAGCCACACUGGGACUGAGACACGGCCCACACUCCUACGGGAGGCAGCAGUGGGGAAUAUUGGACAAUGGGCGAAAGCCUGAUCCAGCAAUGCCGUGUGUGUGAAGAAGGCCUGCGGGUUGUAAAGCACUUUCGUUGGAGAGAAAGACGUCAUGACUAACAAGCAUGGCAGAUGAUGUUAUCCAAAGAAGAAGCACCGGCUAACUCUGUGCCAGCAGCCGCGGUAAUACAGAGGGUGCGAGCGUUAAUCAGAAUUACUGGGCGUAAAGGGUGCGUAGGUGGUAGCAUAAGUUAGGUGUGAAAGUCCUGGGCUUAACCUGGGGAUUGCGCUUAAUACUGUGUUACUUGAGUAUUGUAGAGGAAAGUGAAAUUUCCGGUGUAGCGGUGAAAUGCGUAGAUAUCGGAAGGAACAUCAGUGGCGAAGGCGACUUUUCUGGACAAAUACUGACACUGAGGCACGAAAGCAUGGGGAGCAAACAGGAUUAGAUACCCUGGUAGUCCAUGCCGUAAACGAUGAAGACUGGCUGU
rnacentral:rRNA from 1 species